AUUGGCUACAAGCAUACAAAUGAAGCUGGAGAACAAAGUCACCUGAGCUCUCUUACAAGGGUGAGAUGCAAACACACAAGGCUCAGAAGUGGCCUCACUGUCUCCUUUUCUCUUUCUCUGUUGCCCCUAGGCAAAAGGAGGAAAAUCUUCCAGCAAUACCUGCAGCUCGGGGCCAGCCCAGGUUUUACAGCCUGGUGUGCCAGCAUGGAACAAAAGGUUUUCAAAGAAACCUUUUGUCACCCUUGGAAGAAGAGGAGGCUUUAUACUUCCCAGGAGUUUGCAAGAGAAAGCCAAACCCCCCAUCUCUUAGUGAGACUGGAGUUUCAGGAAUAAGUUCCCCUCAUUCACAGACCACUGGAGACUGCAGCAGGAAACAGUGAGGAGAUGGUAUCAAUCAGAGUUGAAGAAAACCUUCUACCCUACCGACGUUGCAAGUUGCUUUUUCCUCCUUACACAGAAGUGGAGGAACAGCACUGUGGGUAUCCCAGCUCUGUAUCCAGUAUUAUACAUUGUCCAAAAGCAAGCAGAUUCCUAAUGAGCUGUGUAAGACCAAAAAAAGAAUCCUGUGCCACUCCUACAGAACAUCCUUCCAGCGGUCUGUGUCCGAGGGCCUCCCUGAGGCAGAGAAGAUGGAACUAAUAACAGAAAACCAGUACAUUUUUUCUUCCCAUGGAUUUUCCCUGUCCCUUCUUGAACCCAGA
rnacentral:lncRNA from 1 species